rnacentral:rRNA from 1 species
CCCGCUGAACUUAAGCAUAUCAAUAAGCGGAGGAAAAGAAACUAACAAGGAUUCCCCUAGUAACUGCGAGUGAAGCGGGAAAAGCUCAAAUUUAAAAUCUGGUGGCCUUUGGCCAUCCGAGUUGUAAUUUAGAGAAGCGUCUUCCGCGCUGGACCGUGCACAAGUCUCCUGGAAUGGAGCGUCGUAGAGGGUGAGAAUCCCGUCUUUGGCACGGACGCCCAGUGCUUCUGUGAUGCGCUCUCGAAGAGUCGAGUUGUUUGGGAAUGCAGCUCAAAAUGGGUGGUGAACUCCAUCUAAAGCUAAAUAUUGGCGAGAGACCGAUAGCGAACAAGUACCGUGAGGGAAAGAUGAAAAGCACUUUGGAAAGAGAGUUAAACAGUACGUGAAAUUGUUAAAAGGGAAACGAUUGAAGUCAGUCGCGUCUACUUGGACUCAGCCUUGCCUUGGCUUGGUGCAUUUCCUUGUGGACGGGCCAGCGUUUAUGUUGGUUGCUGGAAAAGGUACAGGGGAAUGUGGCUCUUUUGGGAGUGUUAUAGCCCUAGUUCAUAUACAGUGACUAAUAUGGAGUGGUACAGCAUGCUUCGGCGGUGCUUGUGCUGGCAUAAUGGCUUUAAACGACCCGUCUUGAAACACGG